rnacentral:rRNA from 1 species
CUGGUCUUGACAUCCACGGAAGUUUUCAGAGAUGAGAAUGUGCCUUCGGGAACCGUGAGACAGGUGCUGCAUGGCUGUCGUCAGCUCGUGUUGUGAAAUGUUGGGUUAAGUCCCGCAACGAGCGCAACCCUUGUCUCUAGUUGCUACGAAAGGGCACUCUAGAGAGACUGCCGGUGACAAACCGGAGGAAGGUGGGGAUGACGUCAAGUCCUCAUGGCCCUUAUAGGUGGGGCUACACACGUCAUACAAUGGCUGGUACGAAGGGUUGCCAACCCGCGAGGGGGAGCUAAUCCCAGAAAACGCAUCGUAGUCCGGAUCGUAGUCUGCAACUCGACUACGUGAAGCUGGAAUCGCUAGUAAUCGCGGAUCAGCAUGCCGCGGUGAAUACGUUCCC